rnacentral:rRNA from 1 species
CAGCCGCCGCGGUAAUACGUAGGGUGCGAGCGUUAAUCGGAACUACUGGGCGUAAAGCGUGCGCAGGCGGUUUGUUAAGACAGGUGUGAAAUCUUCGAGCUUAACUCGGAAACUGCCGUUGAUACUAUCUGUCUUGAAUAACGUUGAGGUGAGCGGAAUAUGUCAUGUAGCGGUGAAAUGCUUAGAUAUGACAUAGAACACCGGUUGCGAAGGCAGCUCACUAAACGCUCAUUGACGCUGAGGCACGAAAGCGUGGGGAUCAAACAGGAUUAGAUACCCGAGUAGUCCCUGUCUCUUAUAA